rnacentral:lncRNA from 1 species
AAUCCGGAUGUCAUUGGUUGGAUCCACCAUCAUCGAAUCACUCUCCUGGGGAAACAAAUUAUUAAGUGCUUAGAGAUACAGCUUUUUGCAUAAGAAUGACUAGUUAUUUCUGUGUGUCAAGGGGAAUCCUAGCAGAAUAAAAACGGAUGGUUUACAAUGUAAAUCCUGAAAGUUAAGUGGUGUCCUAUGUAAGACCAGAUGACACAAACCUGAUAAUGCAUCUCUUGAAGCGUUUGGGGUGAGCCCCGAGGCCUGGGUGCAGGAGUGGUUUACUGAGUGGCAAUCAUCAGCAAUGCCAUCUGGGGCAUUGGAGAAGACCCAUGCUGAGAGGACCUGCGAGAGAGCCAGUGGGUCUCAUCCAAGUUUUCAGGUCCAUGCCUCGGGCUCCAACGGGGUUUCUUUGUGCUAAGGAGAAACUGGUUUGCCUGGCAUAAAGACCAAGUCAGAGAACUGCUCAUUAUGAUGAAGGAUGGUUUCCAAAAGUAAACACAAUCGAAAGUGCAGACUUGGAAAGGAAAAGUUGACUUAUGCUGGUGUCCUGGGAGAGAAACUAUCCUGGCUGUGAAAAGAGAAAACAUGACAUUUGACCUUCUUUCUUGCUUGAAGGAACUGGAAUGAGAAAGUUGGGGGUUUGACAAAGGUUAAAUCCUUCCCCAUUUUUCUUGCAUCUCUUUGCCUGAUGGGGGAAAAGAAACCAACUUGCAUUACCUUUGAAAACACUCCAGAAAGGUCAGUGGUGAACUGUUAGAGCCUGUGUUGCCUUUACCUUACAAAUGAUGGUGCGGGUCACAAGUUU